rnacentral:rRNA from 1 species
AUUGAACGCUGGCGGCAGGCUUAACACAUGCAAGUCGAGCGGCGUGAUGGUGCUUGCACUAUCACUUAGCGGCGGACGGGUGAGUAAUGCUUAGGAAUCUGCCUAUUAGUGGGGGACAACAUUUCGAAAGGAAUGCUAAUACCGCAUACGUCCUACGGGAGAAAGCAGGGGAUCUUCGGACCUUGCGCUAAUAGAUGAGCCUAAGUCGGAUUAGCUAGUUGGUGGGGUAAAGGCCUACCAAGGCGACGAUCUGUAGCGGGUCUGAGAGGAUGAGCCACCACACUGGGGCUGAGACACGGCCCAGGCUCAUACGGGAGGCAGCAGUGGGGAAUAUUGGACAAUGGGCGGAAGCCUGAUCCAGCCAUGCCGCGUGUGUGAAGAAGGCCUUAUGGUUGUAAAGCACUUUAAGCGAGGAGGAGGCUACUUUAGUUAAUACCUAGAGAUAGUGGACGUUACUCGCAGAAUAAGCACCGGCUAACUCUGUGCCAGCCGCCGCAGUAAUAC